UUUUCAAAGUUGUCCUGAGGGCAGAAACGUUUGCAAGAGGGGAGAUAAUUGCAGAGGCGGGGCCACCAUUUCCAAUCUCAACCAUCAAAAAAUCCCUCUGCGGUGCGCAGGCAAGAGGAACUGGUGGUUAUCAUUUCAAAAAAAAAAUUCUUAAAGGAGCCAGUGCCAUCUUCGGGCCCUACUUGCUGGGAGAGUGCCACUGGACCCUCUUUAGGGAACUAUUACCUACAUCGACUCCUUGGGGGAGCAACCAAAGCAUUGCUUCCAAAUAAUGGAAAAUUGGAGCUUAUUUGCUGCUAGCAGAGGCUGCCAAGGGCCCUGAAAGAUGAUGAAGAGGGACCAUGACUUACAAAACGACUCUUUGUCAUGUGGGGUGUUCUCACUAAUGUUUGCAGAAAUGAUCCUCCAGGGACAACUAGGGCACCUCCAAUGCCUCCCUACCGCUCAAGAGUGAGAGAGACUUUGGACUUUGUUGUUCAACUCCCUUGGUAAGUAGUAGACAUAUGUAUGGCAUGGGUGCUCCUUAUUGAGCUCUGCUGGCUACCUGUAGCUGCCUGCAUUAAGUUUAACUUACUGAUGAUUUGGAGUGGUAGCUUUAACUUGUAAAUUCGGAGGAUGUCAUACUUUGGAGUACAUUGUUACCAGAGAUGUAUAGUAACGAAGUAGAACUACUUCACUACUGUACUUAAGUACUAAAAGGCGGUAUCUGUACUUUACUAGAGUAUUAUUUUUUUCUCCU